UACGUAGGUGGCAAGCGUUGUCCGGAUUUACUGGGCGUAAAGAGCGCGCAGGCGGUCGUUCAAGUCGCGUGUGAAAGCCCCCGGCUCAACUGGGGAGGGUCACGCGAUACUGAUCGACUGGAAGGCAGGAGAGGGUAGUGGAAUUCCCGGUGUAGUGGUGGAAAUGCGUAGAUAUCUGGAGGAACACCGGUGGCGAAGGCGACAUCCUGGACCCGGUAUUGACGCUGAGGCGCGGAAAGCCCAGGGGAGCAAACGGGGA
rnacentral:rRNA from 1 species